rnacentral:ncRNA from 1 species
CUAAGAUGAGCUCAACGAGAACAGAAAUCUCGUGUGGAACAAAAGGGUAAAAGCUCGUUUGAUUCUGAUUUCCAAUACGAAUACGAACCGUGAAAGCGUGGCCUAUCGAUCCUUUAGACCUUCGAAAUUUGAAGCUAGAGGUGUCACAAAAGUUACCACAGGGAUAACCGGCUUGUGGCAGCCAAGCGUUCAUAGCGACGUUGCUUUUUGAUCCUUCGAUGUCGGUACCUUGGUGCCUCGGAUAUGCAGGAG